rnacentral:rRNA from 1 species
GAGUUUGAUCAUGGCUCAGAUUGAACGCUGGCGGAAUGCUUAACACAUGCAAGUCGAACGGAAACGAAACUAGCUUGCUAGUAGGCGUCGAGUGGCGGACGGGUGAGUAACGCGUAGGAAUCUGCCUGAUAGUGGGGGAUAGCCCGAAGAAAUUCGGAUUAAUACCGCAUGAUCUAUUCGUAGUAAAGUGGGGGACUUUCGAGCCUCACGCUAUCAGAUGAGCCUGCGUAAGAUUAGCUUGUUGGUAGGGUAAAAGCCUACCAAGGCUACGAUCUUUAGCUGGUCUGAGAGGAUGAUCAGCCACAUCGGGACUGAGACACGGCCCGAACUCCUACGGGAGGCAGCAGUGGGGAAUAUUGGACAAUGGGGGCAACCCUGAUCCAGCAAUACCGCGUGUGUGAAGAAGGCCUGAGGGUUGUAAAGCACUUUCAAUUGUGAAGAAAAGUUAACGGUUAAUAACCGUUGGCCUUGACGUUAACUUUAGAAGAAGCACCGGCUAACUCCGUGCCAGCAGCCGCGGUAAUACGGAGGGUGCAAGCGUUAAUCGGAAUUACUGGGCGUAAAGCGUGCGUAGGCGGUUUAUUAAGUCAGAUGUGAAAGCCCCGGGCUUAACCUGGGAACUGCAUUUGAAACUGGUCAACUAGAGUAUGGUAGAGGAAAGUGGAAUUUCUGGUGUAGCGGUGAAAUGCGUAGAUAUCAGAAGGAACAUCAAUGGCGAAGGCAGCUUUCUGGACCAAUACUGACGCUGAGGUACGAAAGCGUGGGUAGCAAACAGGAUUAGAUACCCUGGUAGUCCACGCCGUAAACGAUGAUAACUAGCCGUUGGGGGGAUUUACCCCUUAGUGGCGAAGCUAACGCGUUAAGUUAUCCGCCUGGGGAGUACGGCCGCAAGGCUAAAACUCAAAGGAAUUGACGGGGACCCGCACAAGCGGUGGAGCAUGUGGUUUAAUUCGAUGCAACGCGAAGAACCUUACCUGGUCUUGACAUCCUGCGAACUUUCUAGAAAUAGAUUGGUGCCUUCGGGAACGCAGUGACAGGUGCUGCAUGGCUGUCGUCAGCUCGUGUCGUGAGAUGUUGGGUUAAGUCCCGUAACGAGCGCAACCCCUAUCCUUAUUUGCCAGCACAUUAUGGUGGGAACUAUAAGGAGACUGCCGGUGAUAAACCGGAGGAAGGCGGGGACGACGUCAAGUCAUCAUGGCCCUUACGACCAGGGCUACACACGUGCUACAAUGGGAAGGACAAAGAGCCGCGAAGCCGCGAGGUGUAGCUAAUCUCAUAAAUCUUUUCGUAGUCCGGAUUGGAGUCUGCAACUCGACUCCAUGAAGUCGGAAUCGCUAGUAAUCGUAGAUCAGAAUGCUACGGUGAAUACGUUCCCGGGUCUUGUACACACCGCCCGUCAUACCAUGGGAGUGGGUUGCACCAGAAGUGGCUAGUCUAACUUUGUGAGGACGGUCACCACGGUGUAAUGCAUGACUGGGGUAAAGUCGUAACAAGGUAACC